ACUGGUUGUGACGGUGCGCACCUGUAGUCCCAGCUACUUGGGAGGCAGAGGCAGAAGGAUCGCUUGGGUCCGGGAGUUCUGGGCUGUAGUGUGCUAUGCCGAUUGGGUGUCUGCACUAAGCUUGGCAUCAAUAUGGUGACCUCUGGGUCACAUUGAUGGAGUGGGGGGCCACCAAGUUGCCUAAGAAGGGGUAAACUGGCCCAUGUCAGAAACAGAGCAGUCAAAACUCCAGUGCUGAUCGGUAAUGGGACUGUGCCUGUGAAUAGCUGCUGCACUCCAGCCUGGGCAACAUAGCAAGACCCCAUCUCAA
rnacentral:SRP_RNA from 1 species